AUUGAACGCUGGCGGCAGGCCUAACACAUGCAAGUCGAACGAGUGGCGGACGGGAGAGUCAUGUCUGGGGAACUGCCCGAUGGAGGGGGAUAACUACUGGAAACGGUAGCUAAUACCGCAUACCAUCGGAUGUGCCCAGAUGGGAUUAUCUAGUGGGGGGGGUAAAGGCUCACCUAGGCGACGAUCCCUAGCUGGUCAGAGAGGAUGACCGGCCACACUGGAACUGGUACACGGUCCAGACUCCUACGGGAGGCAGAAGUGGGGAAUAUUGCACAAGGGGCGCAAGCCUGAUGCGGCCAUGCCGCGUAUAUGAAGAAGGCCUUCGGGUUGUAAAGUACUUUCAGCGGGGAGGCGUUACCCGCAGAGGAAGCACCGGCUAACUCCGUGCCAGCAGCCGCGGUAAUAC
rnacentral:rRNA from 1 species